rnacentral:lncRNA from 1 species
CCUUGCCAAUCCCCAAGGUGAGCUACCGUUGGAGAUGAUCUGCCCAUGGCAGACAUUGGUGUUGCUACUGUUAAGGGACAUUGGUGUGUACUGGUUAUGGAAACUGAAUUUCUUUGGUGCAGUGUAGUACGUGGACUGCUAAUAUAUUAGCUAUAUGAUCUAGUACAUGUGAGGAUGGAUGUUAUUUGUGCAGAAUGCAUCUGAAGGAAGGUAGUGUCAACUGACGAAAAAACUACAUGUCAAGCGAUCAGAAUGUGUAUGCAGGUUGUGGCCGUUUCGGUGUUGCAGCGUCAGUGAGCUCCUUCAUGUCGAGGCCGUCACUGCUCUUGUAGUCCAGCAUGUAGAGGUCCACCGGCUGUAGCGGGGCAGGAGAAUGGAUGGACAGAGCUAAUGCAGAAAACGUACUGCUAUAUGUGUGCAGUUUAUUUUUAACAGUCUAGUGGUAUAUGUGUGCAAAUGAACUGUUAUAUUGUUCCUUUCAAAAAUAGUUAUUUGUUUUUACUAUAUAACUUGUCUUAACUAGGAAUAUUUGUGAUCCUUUCAUAAACACAUUUGGGCUAUAUUUUCAACCCAGCUUUACAACACAAAAGUACUCUGUACAGCCACAAAUCGCAGAAAUUAUAUCCUGUGAAAAAAAAAUGUGCCCAGCCAUUCACCCAAGCACUAUGGCCCAGCUCGUUUUCUUUUCUUUUUGGCCUGUGUGCAAUUCGCCCCAGAGAUGGGCUCCUUCUAGCCAGCCCAAGAUGGCAACCAGCAGGCCUUGAGCGCCCCAGCUGGGCUGCCAGCUCAACCAGGGGCUGGGAGAAGCUGGCGACGCUCCAGAACGUUUCACGUUCGCCACCUGAAGCAAGAAGCGUGGUAAGAAGCUGGAUAUGGGAAGUUUUGGAGAAGCUAGAUGGUUUCAGAACAGGCCCUUAGUGUAGACUUGAAGAUAAAUUUCUACAGAUUUGCUAUUUUUCACAUCUAGAUGUGAAAUAACUAUCUCACAUCUAAGUCCAGAGCCAUUUGAUUUAUUCUGUCUUUAGGAUUCGCGCAAAUCGUUGUUUUUGUCUCUGCUAGUACAUUCUGUUGGGUUCGCUCGUGUUUUGUGGUCUGUUGCGCGGCCCGUAGUCGAUGCUAGCAGCGGGCCGGGGGCGGGUUUGUGGUGUUUGUUGGGCUGACGGGCCGUGUUUGUCUAUCUCAGAGCAGUUUUGAAGAGGAGGGGGCGACCAUCCUUUUUUCCCAUCGCAGUAGUUUCCCCUGUUUCCCAUUCCUCCUCAACAGGAGCUUCCAGGCGGCGGUUUUUUCUGGAGAGCGAGAUGGGAGAGAGACGCCAUUGGAGCGAAUUACCCUCGUUUUCCUUGUUUUUUUGCUCUGUCCGGUUACGCACCAUCCUCUGUUAUUUGUUUGUCUGUUCAUCGAUCUAGGUUUGCCCCUCAAUUCUAGCCAAAUGUGGGUAGGGUUCGUUACAGUUUAGCACGUCCCCUUUUUUGUUUGUGUAUUUGAUCUAUCCAGGGUUUGUUCCUCAAAUUAUCCAAAUGUGGAUGUGGAUUUCAAGUAGAUAAAGAUUCAGCAGGUUGUUUUGGGCGAUUUAGAUUGAAAACAACAGGCAGUUUUUUGUAUCUCGUGCUAGAAAUUCAGUAUAUCUUUGUGUAGUGUGCAGAGAUUCAGUAUCUCGUGCUAGAAAUUCAGUAUAAUCUUGUGUAGUGUGCAGAGAUUCAGUAUCUCGUGCUAGAAAUUCAGUAUAAUCUUAUGUAGUGUGCAGAGAUUCAGUAUCUCCUGCUAUAAUUUCAGCAUAAUCUUGUAUCAAUCAUGGUUGAUUUUUGUUUUUCAGUCUAGAUCCAUGUUCUUCCAUUUUCCAUGUCAGUACUUCUGUUAAGUUUUUGUCCAGUAUAACAACUUAUACAUGUGUUUUUAUUUUGUCAUAGUGAGUAUUUGGAUCAAUGUGACAGGCUAAAACCAUUUCACUCUAGAUUCUUUUUGUUUGAAAGAAAAGAGAUGAACUUAAAUAAAGAAGCACCUCACGAAUGCAUCAACUUAUACUUUUUUGUCUGUGUAUUUCAUCUAUAUAGGUGUUUUCUUUUUUCAGUUCACCCAAAUGCGGGGAGCCGGGUGGAUUUCAAGUAGUCAAGAUUCAGUGUGGUGGCUGCAUAGUUUGUCUUUUAGUUCACCCAAAUAAGCUGUCCAUGUUAGCUAGCUGAAUCGUCGGGUAAACUUGGAUAUACUAUACUGUAUACAUGUUUGUUCUCCUCCAGGAAAUUCGCCUAUCAUGCGAGAAACAGUUUUUGCCUUUAAAUGAGGCCGGUAGUUUUUAAGGUGGCUGGAGGCAUUGAAUGGAUCUUUUCAUCGUGUUUCCUUUUAGGUGGCUGAGUUUGUGUGUUGAACUUGUGCUCGUAGGCCUGAGCCCAUGCUUAUGCUUUUGAGCGGCACCUUUUUCUUCCUCUCCUUUUUCUUACCAUGUGCAUCCAUCCUUUUUUAAAAGACUUCCAACUUCAGCAAUAGGUUCAGAAUGUCUCCACCUUACUUCUGAUUCUAGGCAGAAGGUAAAUUAGUCUGCUGCCAAACUGAGCUUUUCGUUGGGCUACUAAUUGUUUUGGGUUUUAUGAACAUUCAUUUGUUUUUUGUAGGUUUUCACAUUAUUUGUUAUUUUUCCAGUACAAAUGGCUCGGUUUCUGAAAAGAAUCUUUUUAUCCAUGCAGGAUGGUGUGCCCAAACUGCCAUUCGCAUUUCGAGAGUGACAACGAGCAGAGAUUUUUUGGAGUUGUCAUUCGUGAGGGCUCCAAAGCCGCCCUCACCAACAGUGGUAAUUUUCCUUUUGUUUCUUUUGUCGCAAAUGUUUAUUUUCAUCUUUUUUAUAUUUGCUAAUUGUUUUGAAUUUUUUUAAUUUUUCUUUUUGUUUUUUGUUGUUGUUAACAGAACAUCCCGUGCACAGCCAGUUGAUAUGCCGUCGUUGCAAGUCUAUCAUUGACACACAACUGUUUUUUUUUUCGCUACAAGGCGUUGUCUUAGCUGCAAGUCCACCAUCAACACACAGCUGUGGGCUUCCUACACAACGGCGCUCCCAGUUUGCACGUCCAUCAUUGACAUGCAAUUGUGGGUUUUCUUUCUAGUUGUUUUUACUCUAGUUGCAAGUCUAUCAUUGACACACACUAGGAUCUUUUUUGUAGUUAUUUUUGCAAGUUGACCCUCGACUCGCAAGGUUUUUUGUGUAGUUUUUUCCACAUCACUUGCAAGUCGACCCUCAACUUGCAACUGGGUUUCAUGUAGUUGUAAUCGACCCAGUUGCAAGUGCACCAUCAACUCGCAACUCGGACCUGUGGUUCUUUGUUUCAUGCCACAUGCAAGUCGAUCCUCGACUCGCAACUAGUUUUUUUUGUAGCCGUAGUCACCCCAGUUGCAAGUCGGCCAUCAACUCGCAACUAGGCUUGUACUUUUUUGUUUCAUGCCACUUGCAAGUCGACCCUCGAUGCGCAAUUGAGGUUUUGUGUAGUUGUAAUCGCCCUAGUUCCAAGUGCAUCAUCGAGUCUCAACUCGGCCUGUACUUUUUUUGUUUCAUUCCACUUGCAAGUUGACCUUCGACUCGCAAUUGGAAUAUUUUGUGUAGUUGUAGUCACACUAGUUACAUGUCCACCAUCGACUCGCAACUCGGCUNNNNNNNNNNNNNNNNNNNNNNNNNNNNNNNNNNNNNNNNNNNNNNNNNNNNNNNNNNNNNNNNNNNNNNNNNNNNNNNNNNNNNNNNNNNNNNNNNNNNNNNNNNNNNNNNNNNNNNNNNNNNNNNNNNNNNNNNNNNNNNNNNNNNNNNNNNNNNNNNNNNNNNNNNNNNNNNNNNNNNNNNNNNNNNNNNNNNNNNNNNNNNNNNNNNNNNNNNNNNNNNNNNNNNNNNNNNNNNNNNNNUUUCACGUCACUUGCAAGUCGACCCUCGACUUACAACUGGGGUUUAAUGUAGUUGUAAUCGCCCCAGUUGCAAGUCCACCAUCGACUCGCAACUCGGACCGUAGUUCUCGUUUCAUGCCACUUGCAAGAUGCCCACUAACUCACAACUUGGGUUAUUUCUGUAGUUGUAGUCACACCAGUUGCAAGUCCACCAUUCACUCGCAACUCGGCUCGUAGUAUUUUGUUUUACAUCACUUGCAAGUCGACCCUUGACUUGCAACUGGGGUUUCCAUGUAGUUGUAAUCGCCCCAGUUGCAAGUCCACCAUCGACUCGCAACUCGGCCUGUACUUUUUUGUUUCAUGUCACUUGCAAGUUGACCUUCGACUCGCAACCAGGGUUUAUUUGUGUAGUUGUAGUCACCGCAGUUGCAUGUCCACUAUCAACUCGCAACUCGGCCUGUACUUUUUGUUUCUUGCCAUUUGCAAGUUGACCCUCGACUCACAACUGUUUUUUUUUGCGUAGUUGUAGUUACGCCAGUUGCAAGUCGACCAUCGACUUGCAACUCUGCUCGUAGUUUUUUGUUUCACGUCACUUGCAAGUUGAUGGAUCGACUUGCAACUGGGGUUUCUAUGUAGUUGUAAUUGUCCUAGUUGCAAGUCCACCAUCGACUCGCAACUCGGACCCGUAAUUCUUGUUUCAGGCCCAAUUGCAAGUCGCCAUUUGACUUGCAAACUGGGUUUUUUGUAUAGUUGUAGUCAUGCCAAUUGCAAGUCUAUCAAUGACUCACAACUCAGCUCGUAGUUUUUGUUUCACGCCACUUGCAAGUCAACCCUCGACUUGCAACUGGGGUUUUUAUAUAGUUUUAAUCGCCCUAGUUGCAAGUCUACCAUCUACUCGCAACUCGGACCCGUAGUUCUUUGUUUCAUGUCACUUGCAAGUCGACCCUCGACUCUCAACUAGGUUUUUUUGUAGUCGUAGUCACCCUAGUUGCAAGUGCACCAUCGACUCCCAACUCGGCUUGUACUUUUUUGUUUCAUGCCACUUGCAAGUUGACCCUCGACUUGCAAUUGGGGUAUUUUUUGUAGUUGUAGUCAUGCCCUGUUGCAAGUCCACCAUCAACUCGCAACUCGGCUUGUAGUUUUUGUUUCACGUCACUUGCAAGUCGACCCUCGACUUACAACUGAGGUUUAAUGUAGUUUAUAAUCACCCCAGUUGCAUGUCUACCAUCGACUCGGACCCGUAGUUACAUGCCACUUGCAAGUCACCCUUUGACUUGCAAACUCGGUUUUUUGUGUAGUUGUAGUCACGCCAGUUGCAAGUCCACCAACGACUCGCAACUCGACUCGUAGUUUUUGUUUCACGCCACUUGCAAGUCAACCCUCGACUUGCAACUGGGGUUUUCAUGUAGUUGUAAUCGCCCAGUCGCAAGUCCACCAUCGACUCGCAACUCGGACCCAUAGUUCUUUGUUUCAUGCUACUUGCAAGUCGACCCCCAACUCGUAACUGGUUUUUAGUAGUCAAAGUCGCCCUAGUUGCAAGUCGACCAUCAACUCGCAAGGCUUAUACUUUUUGUUUCGUGCCACUUGCAAGUCAACCCUCGAUGCGUUAUUGGGGUUAUUGUGUAGUUGUAAUCGCCCCAGUUGCAAGUACACCAUCGACUCGCAACUCGGCCCUAUACUUUUUUGUUUCGUGCCACUUGCAAGUUGACCUUCGCCUCGCGAUUGUUUUUUUUGUAGUUGUAGUAACGCCAGUUGCAAGUCCAUCAUCGACUCGCAACUCGGCUCGUAGUUUUUUUUUUCACGUCACUUGCAAGUCGACCCUCGACUUGGGGGCAAAAUGAUGAGAUAGAUGGGGUUCAUAUCUACUUGAUACAGAGAGGAUACAAUUUAUAAUUUUUUCCCAAGCACUUUACUCAUUUUAUUUGGUCCAAAAGAAUAACCGACUUAAAUCUUUGUUUCUACUGGACAAAAGGGAUAGCAUGUUAACCACCAACUGAAAUUUAUUUGUUAGUCAGUAAGAGGAUUUGAUGGUGUUGCAAACUCAUGACCCUGAGAGGCGAAUGAGUAAGGUGGAAUCAACUGCAGAAAUUGUUGUCCAUUGUUUUGCAUUUGAAAAAGCCUCAGGUCAAACACCACUGCUGGGUACUGGGAUGCACAGGCUACAAUCAAAACAAAGCAGUAAGUUCAUCUCAUGUUUUUUCCUGUCAUUUUUGUUUUUAUGGUCCCAUGUGUAUUUAUGAAUCAAUAUUUAUUUAUUUUUCUUUUUUCCCAAAUCAUACCUGAGUGCCAACGUAGUCCCCUGCAUAGCUAUCUUCAUUUCCCGCGGUCAUCAGUUUUUACAAAAUUUAACAUUAUGCUUUUCUUCGCCUAAAGAUUUUAUGGAAUGGAGGAGCACACCCCUAAGUCUUUUUCUUAGGGGCAACAUGGUAACAUUUGUCAUAUGUUGUUUUCUUUCUUAUCAGGUGCCAACACUUCUUUUGUGAACAUGCAUAAUACACUGAGAUGCAGUCAAAUUCUAAGUUCUUCUUUCUUAGAUGAAAAAUUCUAAAUUCAGAGUCAGCACUUUUUAUUUUGUUCUCUAACAAGGUAAUGAUGCAUCUUUUCCUCUUUCUUUUCCCUAGUGAGGCCAAAUAUAUUUUCUUGAUCAGGUUGUAUAUAGAAAUGUAGUUACAGUUUUUUUGGAAAGGCAAUGUUUUUUGCUGAAUAAAUGGGAACAAAUGCCAUCUGAAAGUUGUUGCACGCAAACUGGAACAAGGAGGUGUUUUUGUUCUGAUCUUUCAGUUAGCACAUGUAUGAAGCUCAACCCAUCUGAAACAAACAAGCUAUCUGGCAUGUAAAAGAUAGUGAUAUGCAGUUUUUCUCUGACCAGUUUCUAAGGCUAGAUCAGUUUUCUGAGCCUAGAUCACACUGACAUGCACUUUAUUUAGGCGCAACAACACAAUGUUGUCUGUGUGUUCAUGUAGAUAUGGUCUGCUUAGAAAGACUUUGCUCUGAUUUUUUUGACGACAAAAAACUGUUUAACUGUUGUGUGUUUUUUCCAGAGACCAGGACCAUAUGUUUGAUGGAAAAAGAAAGGAUAAUCAUGAGCAAAAAAUAAAGAUCUACCAUCAGAAAUUAUCUAGAAGGUUGUACACGAUCUUGCCAGAAAGGAUCUACAAGGAGAGGCCAAAUUUUGUACUUGGGUUUUCGCAACUUUUCGUCAGCCACCUAAGCUUCUUUUGCAACUGUUUUUUUUUCUGCCAACAAGGCCCAGGUCUGUGCGCACAUGUUGCUCUUUUUUUUUGUCAAACAAACAAAUAGACAAAUAAAGCCCAACAAACAAGGUCCAGGGGCAGGGGGUAGUUCGGCUGGGUGGGGUGGACUGGCCAGACACAAACAAACAAUACAAACAAGCGUCUAUGUGUGUGAGGGUGAUCGGGUGCAACCAGGCUGGUUGUUUGAUUAGAGGAUGAUGUCAGCUUAGUCUCACAUCUAGAUGCAACAUAGACAGACCCUAUUCAGGACCUCUUAACUGGCUUUAUCCUCUCUUUUAACCUGUCAAUUAUUUCCGUCUCGGUGUUUAAUUCUGUCUCAUUGGGUUGGAACUGCAGGAGCCAUGCCCUUGAUUCUUGCUCCGAAAGUGGACCUGGAGAAAUUUUUGGUUCGACGAUGUAAGAUACUCCCUCCGUUCCGAAUUACUUGUCUUAGAUUUGUUUAAAUACGGAUGUAUCUAGCAUUAAAAUGAGUCUAAAUACAUCAGUAUCUAGACAAAUUCAAGACAAGUAAUUCGGAACGGAGGGAGUAUUACUUAGUGCGUUUGGUCAUGGUACUGUUUCCCCAAAGGUGGUUAUUUCUUCAUUUUUGAAUCAUGCUUGUUGUGUGCUGAUGGUGCGUGAGGAACGCCAUGGUUCUUCUCUGAAUCAUUUGGUAGUUCUCUCAAUCUUGUGCAUUUUGUUCUCUAAAACAUGUGGUAUUUCUAGGUGCACAGCAUGUUGUGUGGUGGAUAGGGGAAGCUGAGGCGACGACUGGCGACUGUUCUCUUUACAACUGGCGUGGUUGAGAGGCUAGGGAGUAGGUCAUUUUGCUAUUUGGUCAGCGAUGGAGAUGAAUUCGGGAGAGAUGUGGCUGGGAGUUGUACCGGUCAUUUUUCUGUCUCUAUAUUAUCCAUUUGCACUAAUCGGUAACAGUUUUUUGAGCAGGCAAUAGUGUAGCAUGCAUGAACAGAAAAAUUGUAUAAGGCGAGGAGGACAAUCUGAGCGACCAACAUUAUGUUUUUUUACAGAACGACCAACAUUAUGUUGAGUAUUGAGAUGUAGGUAAGGCACGUAUAAUCUGAAUUGAGCCAUAUGGAGGGCAUGUAUAGUCUGUAUGUGCAGUCUUAAUUGUAUGUUGAAUUCUUCGCUACUAGGAAAAGGGCUAUAGCUAAUAUGGUAUAGCAGUGGCGCACCAUGUGUAGGUACGCCAUUAAUGUCCAUAUCACUAAUGGCGUACCACACCCAUGGUGCGCCAUUACUAACAUUUUUUUUCCAAAACUAGUAAUGGCGCACCACACACUCUGUGCGUCACUACUAACAAUUUUUUUUAUUUUUUUUCAAAACUAGUAAUGGCGCAUUAGUGUAUAGUGCGCCAUUACUAGUUCAAACUAGUAAUGGCGCACCACAACCAUGGUGCGCCACUACUAACAUUUUUUUUACUUUUUUGCAAAAACUAGUAAUGGCGCAUCACAUAAUAGGUGCGCCAUUUAAAAGAUCGUGAAUGU